CCCCNAUCNCUACCUACUUCGGCGGCUGGCUNCUUGCGGGUUACCCACCGACUUCGGGUGUUGUAAACUCUCGUGGUGUGACGGGCGGUGUGUACAANACCCGGGGAACGUAUUCACCGCGGCAUGCUGAUCCGCGAUUACUAGCAAUUCCGACUUCAUGCAGGCGAGUUGCAGCCUGCAAUCCGAACUGAGAUCGGCUUUUAUAGGAUUGGCUCCACCUCGCGGCUUCGCUUCCCGUUGUACCGACCAUUGUAGUACGUGUGUAGCCCAGCUCAUAAGGGGCAUGAUGAUUUGACGUCAUCCCCACCUUCCUCCGGUUUGUCNCCGGCAGUCACCUUAGAGUGCCCAAGCCGAACUGCUGGCAACUAAGAUCAAGGGUUGCGCUCGUUGGCGGGACUAACCCAACAUCUCACGACACGAGCUGACGACAACCAUGCCACCNCCUGUCUCCGAAGCUCCGAAAAAAGGGGCCCUAUCUCUNAAUGGCUUUCCAUCGGGGAAUGUUCAANGAAACUGGGUUAAGGGUUCUUUCCGCGUUUGGNCUUUCCNAAAUUAAAAACCCCCAUUACUUCCA
rnacentral:rRNA from 1 species